UAAAUAAAAUCUCACUCUAUUUAAACAAUUUUGUGUUGUAAAAAAACCACAAAAACAUACAAUUAAGUACUUGACCUAUAGUAUAGAAACUUGUUUUUGUUGGAGACUAUAUUGACCUCUGGGGUCCAGGUUUUUUGUCUUGUUUAGUUGCUGUCUUAAUAACAUAAUCCCUGAAGUCAUUUUCAAUUAAUCAUAGACAAAGGACAAAUUAUAAAAAACCCAGAAUAACCAAAUCCUUCAUAUUAACUUAUAAUAACUGUUAAAUUUUCCUUCAAAUUAAAUAUAUGUUUCACUCAUCUCCUUCGUUUAGAUAAAUUUUAAAGUGAAACAGAGAAUGGAAGCCAAAUAUUUAAAAUUUAGAUUAAUUGAAAUAGCCUCCCCUCUUAAAAAAAAAUAUAGAACAAAUUUUAACAGAAAAAAGGGGGACGGAAACCUAAAGAUACAGAAUUAAAAUAAAGUGAUAAAAAGAUCCUCCGUCCUUUUCUAAACUUCUUUUUAAAGUUUUAAAUUUGAUAAGUUAGAUGUUCCCUGAAUUUAGAGUAUCCAUGGGAACAUGUCGCAUUUUUACCAGAAAUUAAUAUACCCAUAGGAACAUUACGGUACAUGUUCCUCUCCAAAGUAAUAAAGGUAUCCAUUGGAACAUCACAUGUUCCUCUCCAAAGUAAUAAAGGUAUCCAUUGGAACAUCACAUGUUCCUCUCCAAAGUAAUAAAGGUAUCCAUAGGAACAUCACAUGUUCCUCUCAAAAGUAAUGAAGGUAUCCAUAGGAACAUCACAUGUUCCUCUCCAAAGUAAUGAAGGUAUCCAUAGGAACAUCACAUGUUCCGCUCCAAAGUAAUGAAGGUAUCCAUUGGAACAUCACAUGUUCCUCUCCAAAGUAAUGAAGGUAUCCAUAGGAACAUCACAUGUUCCGCUCCAAAGUAAUGAAGGUAUCCAUAGGAACAUCACAUGUUCCUCUCCAAAGUAAUAAGGGUAUCCAUUGGAACAUCACAUGUUCCUCUCCAAAGUAAUAAAGGUAUCCAUAGGAACAUCACAUGUUCCUCUCCAAAGUAAUGAAGGUAUCCAUAGGAACAUCACAUGUUCCUCUCCAAAGUAAUCAAGGUAUCCAUAGGAACAUCACAUGUUCCUCUCCAAAGUAAUCAAGGUAUCCAUAGGAACAUCACAUGUUCCUCUCCAAAGUAAUAAAGGUAUCCAUAGGAACAUCACAUGUUCCUCUCCAAAGUAAUAAAGGUAUCCAUAGGAACAUCACAUGUUCCUCUCCAAAGUAAUGAAGGUAUCCAUUGGAACAUCACAUGUUCCUCUCCAAAGUAAUGAAGGUAUCCAUUGGAACAUCACAUGUUCCUCUCCAAAGUAAUGAAGGUAUCCAUAGGAACAUCACAUGUUCCUCUCCAAAGUAAUGAAGGUAUCCAUAGGAACAUCACAUGUUCCUCUCCAAAGUAAUCAAGGUAUCCAUAGAAACAUCACAUGUUCCUCUCCAAAGUAAUAAAGGUAUCCAUAGGAACAUCACAUGUUCCUCUCCAAAGUAAUGAAGGUAUCCAUAGGAACAAUACAUGUUCCUCUCCAAAGUAAUGAAGGUAUCCAUAGGAACAUCACAUGUUCCUCUCCAAAGUAAUGAAGGUAUCCAUAGGAACAUCACAUGUUCCUCUCCAAAGUAAUAAAGGUAUCCAUAGGAACAUCACAUGUUCCUCUCCAAAGUAAUAAAGGUAUCCAUAGGAACAUCACAUGUUCCUCUCCAAAGUAAUAAAGGUAUCCAUAGGAACAUCCUAUGUGUCUUACCAAUGUAAAUAAGGUAUCCAUAGGAACAUGGGAGCCUCGGUGGCCAAGUGGUCUAAGUAGCCAGUCAACACUGAGGUUGUGAAUUCAAACCCCGCUCGUGCGGUUGCACAUGACUCCAAUCUUAAUUGACUUAGGGUUGUCAGUUUUCCUAUUGAAGGUCAGUGGUUUUCUCCAGGCACUCUGGCUUCCUCCACCAAUACAAACUGGCCGCCAUGAGAUAGCCAAAGUAGUGCUUAAAAGUGGCGUUAAAACACCAAAAAAUCAAAUUCAAAUCCAUAGGUGCACUGCAUGCUCCAAAUUUACUGGUAUCUGAUAUCCAUUGGAAUCCAAAUUUAGUUGUUCAGUUUGUAUUGAUGACAGAAUUGGCUUUACAAUGAACUUUGAACUCAAAGAAAUGGAUACACAUGUUUCAGAAAAGUAAGUUUGGUACCUAUAUCUCUUUUCACACUUUUGUUGUUUUUAAAUAAUUUGUAAAUUUUAUUGUAAAUGUAACAUACUUAAGUUGUCAAAUUUUUGUGUAAAAAGGGGAAUGACCAUUUCAAAACUGUUUUUCAAUAUUUUUGUUAAAGAUUUUCAGAAGGAAACAGAAAAAUUAUUUAUAAAAAUGUGGAUAGUGUCAAAUGUGUAUAUAGUUUUAAGAAAAAUAGAAAAAAAACAAAAAAAAGCAUGGGUGAUGGUUUUUAAUGAUUUUAAGAAAAAUAGAAAAAAAAAAAAAAAAAAAUAUGCAUGGGUGAUGGUUUUUGUCGAGCCUGCGACUUUUGUCGCAGAAAGCUCGACAUAGGGAUAGCGAUCCGGCGGCGGCGGCGGCUACGGCGGCGGCGGCGGCGUUAGCUAACUUCUUAAAAGCUUUAUAUUUUAGAAGAUGGAAGACCUGGAUGCUUCAUACUUUGUAUAUGGAUGCCUCAUGUUACGAAGUUUCCGUCAGUCACAUGUCCAAUGUCCUUGACCUCAUUUUCAUGGUUCAGUGACUACUUGAAAAAAAAGUUCAGAUUUUUUGUAAUGUUAAAUUCUCUCUUAUUAUAAGUAAUAGGAUAACUAUAUUUGGUAUGUGCGUACCUUGCAAGGUCCUCAUGCCCGUCAGACAGUUUUCACUUGACCUCGACCUCAUUUCAUGGAUCAGUGAACAAGGUUAAGUUUUGGUGGUCAAGUCCAUAUCUCAGAUACUAUAAGCAAUAGGUCUAGUAUAUUCGGUGUAUGGAAGGACUGUAAGGUGUACAUGUCCAACUGGCAGGUGUCAUCUGACCUUGACCUCAUUUUCAUGGUUCAGUGGUUACAGUUAAGUUUUUGUGUUUUGGUCUGUUUUUCUUAUACUGUAUGCAAUAGGUCUACUAUAUUUGGUGUAUGGAAUGAUUGUAAGGUGUACAUGUCUAGCUGGCAGGUGUCAUCUGACCUUGACCUCAUUUUCAUGGUUCAGUGGUCAAAGUUAAGUUUUUGAGUUUUGGUCUUUUUUUCUAAUACUGCAUGCAAUAGGUCAGCUAUAUUUGGUGUAUGGAAUGAUUGUAAGGUGUACAUGUCUAGCUGGCAGGUGUCAUCUUACCUUGACCUCAUUUUCAUGGUUCAGUGGUCAAAGUUAAGUUUUUGAGUUUUGGUCUUUUUUUCUAAUACUAUAUGCAAUAGUUCAACUAUAUUUGGUGUAUGGAAAUAUUUUAUGAUCUAUAUGUCAGUCACGCAGGUUUUAUUUGACCUUGACCUCAUUUUCAAGGUUCAUUGCUCAGUGUUAAGUUUUUGUGUUUUCGUCUGUUUUUCUUAAACUAUAAGCAAUAGGUCAACUAUAUUUGUUGUAUGGAAGAAUUGUUAGCUGUACUUGCCUAACUAGCAUGGUUCAUCUGACCUUGACCUCAUUUUCAUGGUUCAUUGGUCAAUGUUUAGUUUACUUGGUUAAUGUUAAGUUUAUGUGACAGUUGUAAUAAAGCUUUAUAUUUAGGACUAUCAACAUAAUAUCAAUGAUUAGUAAAGAAGGCGAGACAUUUCAGCGUGUGCACUCUUGUUAAUGAUUUUAAGAAAAAUAGAAAAAAAAAAAAAAAAAAAAAUAUGCAUGGGUGAUGGUUUUUAAUGAUUUUAAGAAAAAUAGUAAAAAAGAAAAAAGAAAAAAAAAAAAAAAUGCAUGGGUGAUGGUUUUUAAUGAUUUUAAGAAAAAUAGAAAAAAAAAAAAAAAAAAAUAUAUGCAUGGGUGAUGGUUUUUAAUGAUUUUAAGAAAAAUAGUAAAAAAAAAAAAAAAGAAAAAAAAAAAAA